rnacentral:lncRNA from 1 species
AAAUUUUAAAAAUUAAUUGGUUAUCGAAAAAGUCAAAUACUUUUAUGUUUUACCUAAUAACACAGAUUUAUUUGUACCAUAAUGGCAAAUCUUCCUCAAUAACAUCUGUAAAUUUUGUGACGACACAAAUGACAAACAAAACGGCAUCACUUCUAGAUGAAAAAUAAAUAAGGAAGAAGGUAGCCUAGGUAAAAAGGACAAGAGACUAGCUAGAUAGGGGACUGGGUGUGGCUUGCUAGUUUGGGGGGAUCGCUCUCUUUAAAUUUAAGUGGGGCCCGGUGAUACGUGAGCUGUUAAAAUUUGUUGAUCUUGAUUGUUUGAGCAUUCCUCCACUGCAGCGAAGGUGCAUGAUAGGGUUGAUAAUUAUUCGCGUGGAAGACAAAAAGUUUGGCCUUUCGCAACGUGGAAGUUAAUGAUAUGUUGGUUUCAUCUCUGUAUUCGAAGCACUUAGAGGGAGUUGCCUUACCAGAUUAUGCUGGAAGUCAAUCAUUUAGGAGUUUCCGUGUUAGUUGAACAUAAGGAAACUAUAACAUUACAGCAAAUGCUUGGAGACAAAAAAUACCUAUAUCCAACACGUGUCCGAAAUAUUAUAUUUUUAGAAAUUGUAAGAA